GUGCCAGCAGCCGCGGUAAUACGUAGGGCGCAAGCGUUACUCGGAAUCACUGGGCAUAAAGGGCGUGUAGGCGGAUGCGCAAGUCCGGUGUGAAAGCCCCCGGCUCAACCGGGGAAAGUCAUCGGAUACUGCGUGUCUCGAGUGCGGGAGGGGAGAGUGGAACUCUUGGUGGAGCGGUGAAAUGCGUAGAUAUCAAGAGGAACGCCGGUGGCGAAAGCGGCUCUCUGGCCCGUUACUGACGCUGAGGCGCGAAAGCUAGGGGAGCAAACGGGAUUAGAUACCCCGGUAGUCCUAGCCCUAAACGAUGGGUACUAAGUAGGGGCGGCUCCGAUGUCGUCUCUGCUGUAGCCAAUGUGCUAAGUACCCCGCCUGGGGAGUACGGUCGCAAGGCUGAAACUUAAAGGAAUUGACGGGG
rnacentral:rRNA from 1 species